UGAGUACGAGAUGCUACGGCAUCGAAGCAGUCUAUGUCAUACUUCCAAGAAAAGCUUGCACUGUCAUAAACAAAGAAUGCCUGUACCAUAACCGACACAGGUGGGUAGGUAGAGUAUACUAAGGGGCGCGAGAUAACUCUCUCUAAGGAACUCGGCAAAAUGACUCCGUAACUUCGGGAGAAGGAGUGCCUUAUUUCUAAGGUUGCAAUAACAAGAUCCAAGCAACUGUUUACCAAAAACACAGGUCUCCGCUAAGUCGUAAGACGAUGUAUGGGGGCUGACGCCUGCCCAGUGCCAGAAGGUUAAAGAAGUUGGUUAGCAUUAGCGAAGCUGAUAACUGAAGCCCUGGUGAACGGCGGCCGUAACAAUAACGGUCCUAAGGUAGCGAAAUUCCUUGUCGGGUAAGUUCCGACCCGCACGAAAGGCGUAAUGAUUUGGAUACUGUCUCGGAGAGGGGCUCGGUGAAAUAGACUUGUCUGUGAAGAUGCGGACUACCUGCACCUGGACAGAAAGACCCUAUGAAGCUUUACUGUAACUUGAGAUUGAAAUUGGACUUUAUUUGCGCAGUAUAGGUGGGAGGCGUUGAGAAUAAUCUUGCGGGAUUGUUGGAGCCAUCAGUGAGAUACCACUCUUGUAAUGUUAGAUUUCUAACUUUGUAUCAUUAUCUGGUCAAAGAACAGUUUCAGGCGGGCAGUUUGACUGGGGCGGUCGCCUCCCAAAGGGUAACGGAGGCGCACAAAGGUUUCCUCUGAACGGGUAGAAAUCGUAUCUAGAGUGUAAAGGCAUAAGGAAGCUUGACUGUGAGACCUACAAGUCGAGCAGGGACGAAAGUCGGUCUUAGUGAUCUGACGGUGCUGAGUGGAAAGGCCGUCACUCAACGGAUAAAAGUUACUCUAGGAUAACAGGCUGAUCUCCCCCAAGAGUUCACAUCGACGGGGAGGUUUGGCACCUCGAUGUCGGCUCAUCGCAUCCUGGGGCGGUAGUCCGUCCCAAGGGUUGGGCUGUUCGCCCAUGAAAGCGGUACGCGAGCUGGGUUCAGAACGUCGUGAGACAGUUCGGUCCAUAUCCGGUGUAGGCGUUAGAAUAUUGAGAGGAGCCUUCUCUAGUACGAGAGGACCGAGAAGGACAUACCUCUGGUGUACCAGUUAUCGUGCCAACGGUAAACGCUGGGUAGCUAUGUAUGGAGUGGAUAACCGCUGAAAGCAUCUAAGUGGGAAGCCCACCUCAAGAUAAGUAUUC
rnacentral:rRNA from 1 species